CGCUGGCGGCGUGCUUAACACAUGCAAGUCGAACGGAAAGGCCCUGCUUUUGUGGGGUGCUCGAGUGGCGAACGGGUGAGUAACACGUGAGUAACCUGCCCUUGACUUUGGGAUAACUUCAGGAAACUGGGGCUAAUACCGGAUAGGAGCUCCUGCUGCAUGGUGGGGGUUGGAAAGUUUCGGCGGUUGGGGAUGGACUCGCGGCUUAUCAGCUUGUUGGUGGGGUAGUGGCUUACCAAGGCUUUGACGGGUAGCCGGCCUGAGAGGGUGACCGGCCACAUUGGGACUGAGAUACGGCCCAGACUCCUACGGGAGGCAGCAGUGGGGAAUAUUGCACAAUGGGCGGAAGCCUGAUGCAGCAACGCCGCGUGCGGGAUGACGGCCUUCGGGUUGUAAACCGCUUUCGCCUGUGACGAAGCGUGAGUGACGGUAAUGGGUAAAGAAGCACCGGCUAACUACGUGCCAGCAGCCGCGGUGAUACGUAGGGUGCGAGCGUUGUCCGGAUUUAUUGGGCGUAAAGGGCUCGUAGGUGGUUGAUCGCGUCGGAAGUGUAAUCUUGGGGCUUAACCCUGAGCGUGCUUUCGAUACGGGUUGACUUGAGGAAGGUAGGGGAGAAUGGAAUUCCUGGUGGAGCGGUGGAAUGCGCAGAUAUCAGGAGGAACACCAGUGGCGAAGGCGGUUCUCUGGGCCUUUCCUGACGCUGAGGAGCGAAAGCGUGGGGAGGGAACAGGCUUAGAUACCCUGGUAGUCCACGCUGUAAACGGUGGGUACUAGGUGUGGGGUCCAUUCCACGGGUUCCGUGCCGUAGCUAACGCUUUAAGUACCCCGCCUGGGGAGUACGGCCGCAAGGCUAAAACUCAAAGGAAUUGACGGGGCCCCGCACAAGCGGCGGAGCAUGCGGAUUAAUUCGAUGCAACGCGUAGAACCUUACCUGGGUUUGACAUGGAUCGGGAGUGCUCAGAGAUGGGUGUGCCUCUUUUGGGGUCGGUUCACAGGUGGUGCAUGGCUGUCGUCAGCUCGUGUCGUGAGAUGUUGGGUUAAGUCCCGCAACGAGCGCAACCCUUGUUCACUGUUGCCAGCACGUUAUGGUGGGGACUCAGUGGAGACCGCCGGGGUCAACUCGGAGGAAGGUGGGGAUGACGUCAAGUCAUCAUGCCCCUUAUGUCCAGGGCUUCACGCAUGCUACAAUGGCUGGUACAGAGAGUGGCGAGCCUGUGAGGGUGAGCGAAUCUCGGAAAGCCGGUCUCAGUUCGGAUUGGGGUCUGCAACUCGACCUCAUGAAGUCGGAGUCGCUAGUAAUCGCAGAUCAGCAACGCUGCGGUGAAUACGUUCCCGGGGCUUGUACACACCGCCCGUCAAGUCAUGAAAGUUGGUAACACCCGAAGCCGGUGGCCUAACCGUUGUGGGGGAGCCGUCGAAGGUGGGACUGG
rnacentral:rRNA from 1 species